rnacentral:rRNA from 1 species
GAAUUCGAUUAGAGUUUGAUCCUGGCUCAGAUUGAACGCUGGCGGCAGGCUUAACACAUGCAAGUCGAGCGGGAAUACGGAGCAUGUUGCUCACUCCUAGACGAGCACCGGACAGUAAAGCUAAGGAAGCUACCCAGCCUGAGGGAACGACAUUACUACUGGAACCCGUAUACCACAUCCCUCCUACUCGAAAAACCAAGGAAUCUUACCACCUUGCCCCUUGACAUGAGACGUACCCAGAUUAGAUUAUCUAUGAGGUGAAGGACUGCCUCAGCUACGAUACGAUCCCUAUCUGAUAUGAUAAUACGACCCACCGCGCACGGAAACGAGACCCAGACCCCACUCCUACGGGACGCAGCGGAAUAUAAUAUUGUGCACUGGAAGCCUGAUCCGACCCUGCCAUGCCGCGUGAAGUAAAGCAAUGUCUUUGGAAUGCACAUUACUCUCAGCAAAGACUCACGUUGUUAAUACCAUACGCGCGUGGACUGAACUCACUCCAAAAAACAACCGCCUAACUCUGUGCCUGCCAGCCGCCGCAAUUACAUACGGAGGCGUAGCGUUCAUCAAUAUUUUCUUGACUCGUACAUAAAAGCGCUACGCCAGGCUUUUUUGGUUCAGGACUGAAGAAUACCCUCCACCCGUAAUCCUACCUGAAGUGACUUCCUAUUCCAACAUGGCCUAACAAUAUGUCUCAGAAGAAUGGGGGGAAAUACCAUCCCGGAGGUAGCUGAAAUAAAUGCGUAAAUCA